CAUACGCGCUGAACGCACCGCUGACCGCAUAGCACACGAAAUGCGGUGCUUACGGCGAGGACGAAUGUGCGAGGUUUCACAUCAUUUCAUACAACGAAGUCU